UCCCUGGAAGUCCAGUGGUUAGGACUCUGUGCUUCCACUCAGGGGGAUGUGGGUUGGAUCCCUGUUCAGGGAA
rfam:TPA: Bos taurus chromosome 17, whole genome shotgun sequence.